AGUGCACAAAACACCUGGAUGUUCAUAUAAGCUUUUAUACGGGCAACUGCGAAGGUCAUAAAACAGUUACAGUUUAUUCUGAGGCAUUCUUACAGGAUAACCGCAGUAAUUUAGAGCUAAUACAUGCGCUUAAACCCAACUUUGUGGAGAGUGUGGUCAUUAAAUACAGAACUAACCAGGCUUCGCCGGUCUUUGGGAUUUAUAAUAACCGAACGGAUCGCAUGGCUCCGCUGGCGAUGAAUCAUUCAAGUUUUUGACCUAUCAGCUUUCGACGGUAGGGUAUUGGCCUACCGUGGCAAUGACGGGUAACGGAAAAUUAGGGUUCGAUUCCGGAAAGGGAGCCUGAAAAACGGCUACCACAUUCUAAGGGAAGGGCAGCAGGGCGCGCAAAUUACCCCAAUCCUGACACAGGGGAGGGUAGUGGACAAGAAAAUAACAAUACAGGGCAUCCAUGGUCUUGGUAAUUGGGAAUGGAGUAGACUUUUAAAUUCCCUUUUACG
rnacentral:rRNA from 1 species